rnacentral:misc_RNA from 1 species
GAUGAAGAACGCUAGCGAAAUGCGAUAAGUAGUGUGAAUUGCAGAAUUCAGUGAAUCAUCGAAUCUUUGAACGCACAUUGCGCCCUUUGGUAUUCCUUAGGGCAUGCCUGUUCGAGCGUCAUUUAAACCCUCAAGCUCUGCUUGGUGAUGGGCGUCUUGUCGACCUGGCGGACUCCGCCGGUGACUCGCCUCAAAUCUAUUGGCGGCUAGCAUUGUAGUUUCGAGCGCAGCAGAAACGCGAACUCGGGUCUACUUGUGAGCUCCCAGCAAGCCACCCCCCAAUUUUGACCUCGGAUCAGGUAGGGAUACCCGCUGAACUUAAGCAUAUCAAUAAGCGGAGGA